rnacentral:rRNA from 1 species
UACGUAGGGGGCUAGCGUUAAUCGGAAUUACUGGGCGUAAAGCGUGCGCAGGCGGUUCGUUGUGUCGGCGGUGAAAGCCCCGGGCUUAACCUGGGAAUGGCCGUUGAAACUGGCGAACUGGAGUGUGGCAGAGGGGGGUGGAAUUCCGCGUGUAGCAGUGAAAUGCGUAGAGAUGCGGAGGAACACCGAUGGCGAAGGCAGCCCCCUGGGCUAACACUGACGCUCAGGCACGAAAGCGUGGGGAGCAAACAGG